AGAGUUUGAUCCUGGCUCAGGAUGAACGCUAGCGGCAGGCUUAACACAUGCAAGUCGAGGGGCAGCGAGGGGAGCAAUACCUGUCGGCGACCGGCGCAAGGGGGGUGCGUAACGCGUGAGCAACAUGCCCGUAUCAGGGGGAUAAUCCAGGGAAACUUGGUCUAAUACCCCAUAGUAAUAUUUUCAGGCAUCUGGGGAUAUUUAAAGCUUUGGUGGAUACGGAUUGGCUCGCGUGACAUUAGCUGGAUGGUAGGGUAACGGCCUACCAUGGCUACGAUGUCUAGGGGUUCUGAGAGGAAGAUCCCCCACACUGGUACUGAAACACGGACCAGACUCCUACGGGAGGCAGCAGUGAGGAAUAUUGGUCAAUGGACGCGAGCCUGAACCAGCCAAGUCGCGUGAAGGAAGAAGGUUCUAUGGAUUGUAAACUUCUUUUGCAUGGGAAUAAAGUGAGCUACGUGUAGGCCGAUGAGAGUAAGGUGUGAAUAAGGACCGGCUAACUACGUGCCAGCAGCCGCGGUAAUACAUAGGGGGCAAGCGUUAUCCGGAAUCAUUGGGUGUAAAGGGUGCGUAGGCGGCCUAUUAAGUCUAUGGCGAAAGUUUUCAGCUUAACUGGAAAAAUGCCGUUGAUACUGCGUUUCUUGAGUAUAGUUGAAGUGGGUGGAAUUCCACGUGUAGCGGUGAAAUGCGUAGAUAUAAGGAGGAACACCAGUGGCGAAGGCGGUUGCCUGGCCUGUAACUGACGCUGAGGCACGAAAGCGUGGGGAGCAAAUAGGAUUAGAUACCCUAGUAGUCCACGCUGUAAACGAUGAAUACUAAGUGUUGGAGAAAUUCAGUGCUGCAGUUAACGCAAUAAGUAUUCCGCCUGGGGAGUAUGCACGCAAGUGUGAAACUCAAAGGAAUUGACGGGACCCCGCACAAGCGGUGGAUUAUGUUGUUUAAUUCGACGCAACGCGAAGAACCUUACCAGGCCUUGACAUACUCGGCAAAGCUCUAGAGAUAGAGUGGAGGUUAUCCGGGAUACAGGUGGUGCAUGGUUGUCGUCAGCUCGUGUCGUGAGAUGUUGGGUUAAGUCCCGCAACGAGCGCAACCCUUGUUGUUAGUUACCAGCAUUCAGUUGGGCACUCUGAGGAGACUGCCGGGGUUAACUCGGAGGAAGGUGGGGACGACGUCAAGUCCUCAUGGCCUUUAUGUUCAGGGCUACACACGUACUACAAUGGCUAGUACAAAGAGAAGCAAGCCCGUGAGUGGAAGCGAAUCCCAAAAAAGCAGUCCCAGUUCGGAUCGUGGGCUGCAACCCGCCCACGUGAAGUCGGAGUUGCUAGUAAUCGCGGAUCAGCAUGCCGCGGUGAAUACGUUCCCGGGCCUUGUACACACCGCCCGUCACACCAUGGGAGUUGGGAGCACCCAAAGCCAGCGAGGUAACCGCAAGGAGCCAGCUGUCCAAGGUGAGACCAAUGACUGGGGUGAAGUCGUAACAAGGUAACC
rnacentral:rRNA from 1 species